rnacentral:lncRNA from 7 species
UCAGUGAUCAUUUUCUGUAUUUAACAUGGCAGCAGGCACCGUGUGGAGAAAUCAACAUGCUGGAUGUUGAACUGGACUUUCCUCCUUUCUAGGAUGAAAGGAUGUGAUCUAUCCCGUGCCAAAAGGGAGCUGAGAGCAAUGAACAUAUGGCUGUUACUAUCAGCACUGGUGUAUUUGCAGCGAUGCCUAUCAACAUCCACCAGAGAGCAGGGCAGCUCCAAAACCCACAUCUUUCAUGCUGUGGAAAUUGAUGGAGACAGCAACACAGCCAGCUUCUUGGCCAAACAACAUGGAAUGCAGUUCAUUUCAAAGCUGCAAAAAGGAAGCAUUUGGCAGGAGAAGGGAGAUUGUUUCAAAACAGUUGGAUGAAAUGCUCCUAUGGUGCUGGAGUUUUACUCUGCCAUGAUCAAUGAAUAAUUAUUGCUUUCUGAUGUCAGUGGGAUCUGAUGAGAGUAAGGAAGAGACGAUGGCAUCAACAAUGUGCCCCUGUGUCUGAAAGACAUAAUUACUUGGUGGAGGAACAGGCUGCUCAUCUCCUCCUGGGCAGGAUGAGAAUGGUGCCGAUAAAUAAACAGAGAGGAGGCUUUCUGCUACUGUAGGCUGUGCUGGAGGCUUCACCUUUUCCUGUCAGAUGUGGACUUUGCUACAGCAUUUCAAGGUUUGUUUAUCCCUGUGCUGGAUUGCUUCAGACUGUUCUGCUUGGGCUUGUCAGCUGAAAAGCAGAGAAACAUCACAUGUUAAAUCUUGAUGAAAUUUCU